GAUGAAGAACGUAGCGAAAUGAGAUACGUAAUGUGAAUUGCAGAAUUCAGUGAAUCAUCGAAUCUUUGAACGCAUAUUGCGCUCUCUGGUAUUCCGGAGAGCAUGCUUGUUUGAGUAUCAGUAAACACCUCAACUCCCUUUUCUUUUUUGAAAUGGGAGCUGGACUUGAGUGAUCCCAACACUUUUCUCACUGGAAAGUGGCGGGUCACUUGAAAUGCAGGUGCAGCUGGACUUUUCUCUGAGCUAUAAGCAUAUCUAUUUAGUCUGCCUAAAAAACAGAUUAUUACCUUUGCUGCAGCUAACAUAAAGGAGAUGAGUUCUUGUGCUGACUGAUGCAGGAUUCACAGAGACAGCUUUGCGGCUGACUUUGUAAACUCGAUCUCAAAUCAAGUAAGACUACCCGCUGAACUUAAGCAUAUCAAUAAGCGGAGGA
rnacentral:misc_RNA from 1 species